UUAUAUGAGCCUUGAUUAUGAUCUAGUAUCUUUUUCAGUCAAUAAUGAUGCCUCAUAAUCUUUAUCUCAGCACACUCAAAUAUGACAGCUCAUCAGCAUAUUCUUUGCACAAAGUUAAAGCUGUUUCAAGGUGCUUUUCUUCAAGACAAAGGAAUGCAUUAAAGGAGUUGGUUGGCAGCUGUGAACAUUUCUUCAUUACCAAUGAGUGCAUUAAAAUAGUUGGUUAGUAGCUGUAAACACUUAAUUUCGAAAUUCCCUAUGCAUGAAGGGUUGUUUCAUGCACUAGUAUUUAU
rnacentral:lncRNA from 1 species